ensembl:lncRNA
GGCAUCGUAGAUGUUCAAAUUCUGGAUAUUUUCUGAGCACGUAAGAGGUUGAUCCCCGGCUUUCAUUGGUCACCUUGGAAACUGCAGCUGACAAAACAAAUUCGCUUCGGUGACCGAACUCUUUUUUGCUCCUUCCCUUUUAUGAGCAGCGGAGGUCUCUGAACACAUGCCCCUUCAUCUUUUGGUCAUGUGCGUUUUAAUACUAUUUUUAGAUGGGGCAGCGGUUGUGCAUUUAUUUUUCUUAGUUUACCUCAUUAAUUAUUACUGUGUGUCUUAAUUAAACUCUCUCUUUCUCUCUCGCUCACACACACACACACACACACACACACACGCACACACGCAAAGCCCGUUAAGAAUAAAAUGUUGACCAGACAUUACUCAGGUGCAUAUAGUGCCAGGUAAUUAGAGAAUCCAUUGAUGUCCCUGCAGCGGCUUCUGAUUGGCUGUGGCAGCACCUGGUUUGCUUGCUGCCGCACAAAUAGCCGUGGCGAAGUCUUGCCUUCCAGCUCUGAACAUUUCUAGGAGACACGCACAGCUAAACGAUGCGUAGAGAAAAGGGGAGACGUGCCACCGUUUGCUGUGCUGUAGCUGUUAUUCUGAUGUGCUAUUUAGUGCAAGCAAUAGACUGUUACCGACUAACGAAAACAGAGAGGCGAGGAUGGCGCGAAGAGGCCGAUGCGUUAGGUGCUCAAAAGGGGAAAGUCGUAUUCGGAAUAUCUGACGGGAAAGGCUCAGGCCUUGAGUCAGAGGGCAAAUAUGGGAAAGCCUCUGCAAACUCAUCUGUGGAGGAAUCUUAUCAAGCGGAUUUUAUAGGCUGGUCAAAAGGCCAAACGUAUGAUGCCACUUCCAGAGAAGCAGCAAUGGGCCAAACGUAUGAUGCCACUUCCAGAGAAGCAGCAUGGAGGCGCAUGGCACCUUUUCUGCUGUGCGGUGGGGAUCGGAUGAAGUUCAGGGUAGUGGGAAGAGGAGUGUCACAGCUAGCAGUGGACCAAGCAAAUGCCCCACCAGUACCUCUGAGCCAGGUCCCUCCCAGCUGUGGCUACAACAUGCAGAGGAACCUACUGUCACUUGUUAUGAUGGUUCCCUAUGAUGGCUGCAGUGUGGUUCAAGAGGGUGGCAGUUAUGUGCUUCCAAUGCGGUGGCAGGGUAUUCCAGUCUCCCUUUGGUGUUCUAAACCUGCAGCACCAGCUCCUAUGACGACUGCAUCUCAAACCCCUCAGGACCCUGCAUCAAACUCCCAGAUGCCCUACGCUAGCAAAAACCCAGACCAAUUGUAUGCCCAUGUUCCUCAACCCUUUUUCUUUCCACAACAAAUGCACUAUCCAUAUCCUUCAGUUGCCGUAUCGGAUCCUGCAGCAACCAUAAAGCAACCAGAAAUGCCCCCAUUCCAGCAAUACCCUCUGCCCUUUCCUCCCCGAUAUCCUUACUUUUAUCCCCCACUUCCAGCCACAACGGCAGCCCGAAUGGCCACUACAACCACCACUGCAAAGCCAGAAAUCUUCAUUCCUCCAGAGCUUCUCUUACCUGGUUACAAACCAGUCGGUCCACCUUUCCUUUGGCCCUUUCAGUUACCUGUGCCAGCAGGUACUCAAACCACAACUAAUGGUGACUCUUAUCCCCAGUCACUGCAGGUUCCACCCAAUAUGCAUUACUUCCCUCAGUUUGUCCCUCUUCCACAAUAUCUGAACAAUCCUAAUGCAGAUUUGGCGGCUCCUACUGGAAGCUCAGACACCGUACUCCAUCAAUAUGUUCCGCCUUUCCCUCAAUUUGUUCCUCAAUAUCCAAGCAAUCCUAAUCCAGACUUGGAAACUGGAAGCACAGACACUCUGCUGCCUCAAGCUCAGUCACACAAUUUUCCACACUUCCAUCAACAAGUUCAGUUAAUGCCCAAUCCCUCCCUUUCGUCAUAGUUUGAAGAAAAUAUAAUAAAUGCUUUAAAUAACACCAGUUCAUGGUUUGAAUUUCUUUGUUCAACAGCUCAACUCAAUUAGCAUCACAGAUUCCGACUCAAGGAUCGUAAAUGUUGUGAGCAUGUAGUGCUGAGGUGAUUUGAAUUGAUAAGCAGACUUGAUAUUUGGAUGUUGGGGGCUCAAAUUUAAAUGAUUAAUGUCCCCGUUGUCUGCAACCACCCA